AUGAGCUACGAGCAGCGGCCGAGCUGGGACCGCGGCGGGUCCCGCGACUCGGCCGGCGGCUACGGGGGCAGCUAUGACGGGGGCCGGGGGCCAGGCCGGGGCGGCGGCGGCGGGGGGCGCGGCGGGCGCGGCCGGCACCCCGGGCAUCUCAAGGGCCGCGAGAUCGGCCUGUGGUACGCCAAGAAGCAGGGCCAGAAGAACAAGGAGGCCGAGCGGCGGGAGAGGGCUGUAGUACACAUGGACGAGCACCGGGAGGAGCAGAUCGUGCAGCUGUUGCACUCAGUGCAGGCUAAGAGUGAGAAGGACAGCACUGAGGAACACAUCUCCUGGUUUUCACCUGAGGAUCAUGGGUAUGGCACCGAGGCUCCUGCCCAGAGCAAACCACCCUCAGAGAAGAAGCUUGAGAACCAAGACAAGAGACCCGGGAAGCCAGAAAAACGUCCCUUUCAGAUCCGGGACCAAUAUAGAGACCGUGAUUCCGAGUAUAUCUGCCAAGAAAAUGAACCCGAUGGAAUCUUGGACCAACAGUUGCUGGAAGAAUUGCAAAAGAAGAAGACAGAUCUUCGGUAUAUUGAGAUGCAGCGUUUUAGAGAAAAGCUGCCUUCAUUCAGGAUGCGGAAGGAGCUGGUGAAUCUGAUCAGUGGCCACCAGGUCACAGUAAUAAGUGGCGAGACGGGCUGUGGCAAGACCACUCAGGUCACCCAGUUCAUCCUGGAUGACUACAUUGAGCGCGGCCAGGGAUCCAUGUGCCGCAUUGUGUGCACCCAGCCCCGGAGGAUCAGUGCCAUCUCAGUUGCAGAGAGGGUGGCUGCAGAACGUGCAGAAUCCUGUGGAGGUGGCAAUAGCACGGGCUACCAGAUUCGCCUGCAGAGCCGGCUGCCCCGGAAGCAGGGCUCCAUCCUGUACUGCACCACAGGGAUCAUCCUCCAGUGGCUCCAGUCAGAUCCGCGACUAGCCAGUGUCAGCCACGUAGUGCUGGAUGAGAUCCAUGAGCGGAACCUGCAGUCUGAUGUGCUAAUGACAGUCAUUAAAGAUCUGCUCGUGUUCCGGCCUGACCUGAAGGUGGUUCUGAUGAGUGCAACACUGAAUGCUGAGAAGUUCUCUGAAUAUUUCGGUAAUUGUCCAAUGAUCCACAUCCCAGGUUUCACCUUUCCAGUGGUUGAGUAUCUUUUGGAGGACAUCAUUGAAAAAAUAAGAUACAUCCCCAAGCAGAAGGAGCACAGAUCCCAAUCUAAGAGGGGCUUCAUGCAAGGGCAUGUUCACAGACAGGAAAAGGAAGAGAAGGAAGCCCUGUACAGAGAGCGCUGGCCCAGCUACCUGAAAGAAUUGGAGAAAAAAUAUUCUCCAAGUACAGUCGGGGUUCUGGAAAUGAUGGAUGAUGAGAAAGUUGAUCUGAACUUGAUCUCUGAACUGAUUCGAUACAUUGUUUUGGAAGAAGAGGAUGGUGCAAUAUUGGUCUUUCUGCCUGGCUGGGACAAUAUCAGCACUUUACAUGACCUGUUGAUGUCACAAGUGAUGUUUAAAUCAGAUAAGUUUCUUAUUAUCCCUUUACAUUCACUGAUGCCUACAGUUAACCAGACCCAGGUGUUUAAAAAAACUCCUCCUGGUGUUCGGAAAAUUGUCAUUGCGACCAACAUUGCAGAGACGAGUAUCACCAUAGAUGAUGUUGUUUAUGUCAUUGAUGGUGGGAAGAUCAAGGAGACGCACUUUGACACCCAGAACAACAUUAGCAUCAUGUCUGCAGAGUGGGUCAGUAACGCCAACGCUAAACAGAGGAAAGGCCGUGCUGGCAGGGUCCAGCCCGGCCACUGCUAUCACCUGUACAAUGGCCUCCGAGCAAGCCUGCUGGAUGACUACCAGCUGCCAGAGAUUCUCAGAACCCCUCUGGAGGAGCUCUGCCUGCAGAUCAAGAUCUUAAAGCUCGGAGGUAUUGCAGACUUUCUGGGCAGACUAAUGGAUCCGCCAUCCAAUGAGGCAGUGUCACUUGCCAUCAGGCAUCUGAUUGAACUGACCGCUCUAGACAAAGAGCAAGAGCUGACACCCCUGGGGGUGCACCUGGCCCGGUUACCUGUGGAGCCACACAUUGGGAAGAUGAUUCUUUUUGGAGCUUUGUUCUGCUGUCUAGACCCUGUACUCACCAUCGCUGCCAGCCUCAGCUUCAAGGACCCUUUUGUCAUUCCAUUGGGAAAAGAAAAGAUCGCCGAUGCAAGGAGAAAGGAGUUGGCAAAGGACACAAAAAGUGACCACCUGACUGUUGUGAAUGCAUUCGAGGGCUGGGAAGAAGCCAGGCGCCGAGGUUUCCGUUCUGAGAAGGACUAUUGCUGGGAAUACUUCCUGUCUUCCAACACUCUGCAGAUGCUGCACAACAUGAAGACACAGUUCACCGAGCAUCUCCUAGGAGCUGGGUUCGUGAGCAGCAGAAAUCCAAAAGAUCCAAAAUCAAACAUAAAUUCAGAUAACGAGAAGAUAAUCAAAGCUGUGAUCUGUGCUGGUUUAUAUCCCAAAGUUGCUAAAAUUCGACUAAACUCUGGGAAAAAACGAAAAACGGUGAAAGUAUACACCGAAUCAGACGGCCUUGUCGCUAUCCACCCCAAGUCUGUGAACGUGGAGCAGAUGGACUUCCACUACAACUGGCUCAUCUACCAUUUGAAGAUGCGGACGAGCAGUAUCUAUUUGUAUGAUUGCACAGAAGUUUCCCCAUACUGCCUUUUGUUCUUUGGGGGUGACAUUUCCAUCCAGAAAGACAAGGAGCAGGAGACCAUUGCUGUGGAUCAGUGGAUUGUCUUCCAGUCUCCAGCAAGAAUCGCACAUCUCGUCAAGGAACUGAGGAAGGAGCUGGAUGCCCUUCUGCGGGAGAAGAUAGAGAAUCCCCACCCUGUGGAUUGGAAGGAUACAGAGUCUAGGGACUGUGCUGUGCUAUCUGCCAUCACUGACCUCAUCAAGUCCCAGGAGAAAGCAACACCCAGGAAUGGUCCAUCUCGUUUCCAGGACAGCAGCUACUACAGCUGACAGCUCCACCCAUGUUCUGCGAAGCCUGUCAGUAGCCAUCUCCCACAUAGGCUCCUGUUUUCGAGGGGCACACACACCUCACCUUGUCUUGCACAAAUCAUCUCCUGCCCCUGGUCCAGCGUAGUCCUUGUCUUCACAUGACUGGGAGGCAUGAAAGAGGACCUGGAGAACCCUGUGGGCUCUGCACUGGGAAGUAAAGGACUAUGAAGUGCAUACCACCAUGUCCUCCCUGCUGCCCACCAGGGUAACGGCCAGGCAGAGGUUCCUGCAGAGGCGUGUGUCUUGCUGGGCUUUCGGUGAGAUGAGGAAGAUGGUUCCACACCACCUCGGAGGACAGGGAUUCCCAAAGCACUUCUGAGAGGGGGUCCUGGAAACACUGCUGGCAGAAGCUCUUAGAGCAGUUCGACAGGUGGUUUUGCAUUCUUAACGCGAUUAAAUAAGAGUCCACCCUAAAAUACGGGCAC